UACGUAGGGUGCAAGCGUUAAUCGGAAUUACUGGGCGUAAAGCGUGCGCAGGCGGUUAUGUAAGACAGGUGUGAAAUCCCAGGGCUUAACCUUGGAACUGCAUUUGUGACUGCAUAGCUAGAGUACGGUAGAGGGGGAUGGAAUUCCGCGUGUAGCAGUGAAAUGCGUAGAUAUGCGGAGGAACACCGAUGGCGAAGGCAAUCCCCUGGACCUGUACUGACGCUCAUGCACGAAAGCGUGGGGAGCAAACUGG
rnacentral:rRNA from 1 species